rnacentral:rRNA from 1 species
AACGUAGGAGGCAAGCGUUAUCCGGAGUUACUGGGCGUAAAGCGCGUGUAGGUGGUGAGUUAAGUCUGUCGUGAAAUCCCCAGGCUCAACCUGGGAACUGCGUCUGAUACUGGAUGGCUUGAAUCCGGGAGAGGGAUGCAGAAUUCCAGGUGUAGCGGUGAAAUGCGCAGAUAUCGGGAGGAACACCAAUGGCGAAGGCAGCUCGCUGGGACGUUACUGACGCUGAGACGCGAAAGCGUGGGGAGCAAACAGG